GACGAACGCUGGCGGCGUGCCUAAUACAUGCAAGUCGAACGCAGUGGGGACGGGUGAGGAACACGUGGGUAACCUCCCAUCAGAGGGGAUAACACUUGGAAACAGGUGCUAAACAGAUAUUGGUGGAUGGAGCCGCGGUGGAUUAGCUAGUUGGUGAGGUAACGGCUCACCAAGGCCACGAUGCAUAGCUGAGCUGCGAGGGUGAGCUGCCACACUGGGACUGAGACACGGCCCAGCCUCCUACGGGAGGCAGCAGUGGGGAAUCUUCGGCAAUGGGCGAAAGGCUGACCGAGCAAUGCCGCGUGAUUGAAGAAGGUUUUCGGAUCGUAAAGUUCUGUUGUUAGGGAAGCGUUAUCUAACCAGAAAGCCACGGCUAACUACGUGCCAGCAGCCGCGGUAAUAC
rnacentral:rRNA from 1 species